GGGGACGCUUCUAAUUGACUGAAUCUGCCCGUAAUAAUUGCCAACCAAGUUGGUAGCCUUGCCAAAACUACCACACAAAUAAGUGUCAAAAAUCUAAUGAGCUCCGCCAAAAGGGCCGUCGGCAAUUUCGUUGCCGCCUUGACCCCGGCUUAUGCUCACGCCGUAGUUUAAAUCCUACUGCCAUCUCCCCCGAAAACCUGUGACGGGAUCGGAGGUGCUAUAUAUUCGGGUUUAGAUUGAUACUGGCGCCCGGCCAUUCUCAAUUGAAACAUUUCCGGGCUAUGAGUAGAAAAUUUUUGCCGGUUUUUAUCUUCUACCCCAGACCCAAACACGGCUAAGUUAGUAUCCAAUUAUUAUCGGCUUUUCAAGACGCGGGCGCACUACCCGCCGUCUCCACCA
rnacentral:tmRNA from 1 species